CUCAGGCCCCACCGUCUUCGCGCUCCCCGCUGGAGAUAGGGUCUGACGCACGCCGCCCUGCGAAGCAACAGUAACCAAGGAUAUGAGGAGCCGGGGCGAACAGAUGGCAGCUCCCGGCGGCACUGCUCCUCCGGCCAGCUGCGCAACUCCUCCAGGGUGCUCUAGCCUUCCUCGGACAUGCGGCCACCUGAGACGCCAACUUCAAACCACUCUCACCUCAGCCAGGACCGGAAGUCCAGCCAUCCCGGCAAGCCUUGCGAGACCUCAUCUGGACUGAAUCCUAGAGAGGACGCGGCCUAGGCUCCAUGGCGGCCAAGAGGGAAACCGGGCCUAUCUGGUUCCCGGGAGGAAUCCACUCAGUGAUGCGCACUUCCUGAAGCAGAGGACUUCAGAACUCUCCAGACCACUUGCCUCCCAAGCCUGGGUUGCUGCAGACUUUCCAUUAUCUGGCGCUUGGGGAAGGGUCAAAUAAAAGAGAAUCAAAGACCUCUAAAAAAAGUCUUUGGAAACAUCUCUAAGUGUUCAUAGUGGUGUAUAAGCAGCCAAAGAGAAAUUCACCUCAGUGGAACUAAUUGAAUAAUUGAGUGUAUAUGAGUACCAGUUGCUCCAUAUCCUUGCCAGAACUUGAAACGAGGUGUCCUCCUACUGAAAUGGUGUGACAUUUUUUCAUGGAAAAAUAAUCUUCUAUUUAAUGAUGCCAUCAUCACCACCAUCAUCACCAUCACCAUCAUCUCCAUCAUCAUCACCAUCACCAUCAUCACCCACAUCAUCAUCACCAUCAUCUUCAUCAUUACCAUCAUCAUCACCAUCACCAUCAUCAUAUUCAUCAUCAUCGACAUCAUCACCAUCAUCACCAUCACCACCAUCAUCUUCAUCAUCACCAUCAUCAUCACCAUCACCAUCAUCAUCACCAUCACCAUCAUCAUCACCAUCACCAUCAUCUUCAUCAUCAGCAUCAUCAUCAUCAUCACCAUCAUCAUCAUCACCAUCUUCAUCAUCAUCACCAUCACCUUCAUCAUCAUCACCAUCACCAUCAUCAUCUUCAUCAUCACCAUCACCAUCAUCAUCUUCAUCAUCAUCAUCACCAUCAUCAUCUCACCAUCACCAUCAUCACCAUCAUCUUCAUCACCAUCAUCACCAUCAUCACCAUCAUCACCAUCAUCAACAUCAUCAUCAUCACCAUCAUCAUCAUCAUCAUCACUGUUAUAACAACUACUAUACACCAGGCAUUAUUAUGGAUUAUCAUCACCUAUCUUCAUAAUAACAUCAUUACUCCUAUUUUACCAUGAAGGACACCAAGGUGCCUGUCCAAGGGUGGGAGCCCAGGAAUGGCUCACCCCACAAGCCUAACUUGACCUUCUGUCCUGUGCUCUCUCCAGGACCAUCUCAAAGCCAGGCAACAUAUGGCAAGUGUUGUAAGCAUGAUACCCCAAGGUGGUUUAAUGAAUACCCCGGAGAAAGAACUCACAUUUAUUGUGUUGGCCUAUUACUUGGGGAUAGUAGAAGA
rnacentral:lncRNA from 1 species